AGAGUUUGAUCCUGGCUCAGGAUGAACGCUAGCGACAGGCUUAACACAUGCAAGUCGAGGGGCAGCACAGGGUAGCAAUACUUGGGUGGCGACCGGCGCACGGGUGAGUAACGCGUAUGCAACUUACCUAUCAGAGGGGGAUAACCCGGCGAAAGUCGGACUAAUACCGCAUGAAGCAGGGGCCCCGCAUGGGGAUAUUUGCUAAAGAUUCAUCGCUGAUAGAUAGGCAUGCGUUCCAUUAGGCAGUUGGCGGGGUAACGGCCCACCAAACCGACGAUGGAUAGGGGUUCUGAGAGGAAGGUCCCCCACAUUGGUACUGAGACACGGACCAAACUCCUACGGGAGGCAGCAGUGAGGAAUAUUGGUCAAUGGCCGAGAGGCUGAACCAGCCAAGUCGCGUGAAGGAAGAAGGAUCUAUGGUUUGUAAACUUCUUUUAUAGGGGAAUAAAGUGGAGGACGUGUCCUUUUUUGUAUGUACCCUAUGAAUAAGCAUCGGCUAACUCCGUGCCAGCAGCCGCGGUAAUACGGAGGAUGCGAGCGUUAUCCGGAUUUAUUGGGUUUAAAGGGUGCGUAGGUGGUGAUUUAAGUCAGCGGUGAAAGUUUGUGGCUCAACCAUAAAAUUGCCGUUGAAACUGGGUUACUUGAGUGUGUUUGAGGUAGGCGGAAUGCGUGGUGUAGCGGUGAAAUGCAUAGAUAUCACGCAGAACUCCGAUUGCGAAGGCAGCUUACUAAACCAUAACUGACACUGAAGCACGAAAGCGUGGGGAUCAAACAGGAUUAGAUACCCUGGUAGUCCACGCAGUAAACGAUGAUUACUAGGAGUUUGCGAUACACAGUAAGCUCUACAGCGAAAGCGUUAAGUAAUCCACCUGGGGAGUACGCCGGCAACGGUGAAACUCAAAGGAAUUGACGGGGGCCC
rnacentral:rRNA from 1 species